AGAGACUUAGGUUAACUACAGACCAGGGGCCUUCAAAGCCCCAAGCGGGGGCUAGUAUCCCCCAGUCCCUG
rnacentral:tRNA from 1 species